rnacentral:misc_RNA from 1 species
GCAGAUGGUAGGUUGAGUCCAAUAAUUAGCAGUCGAACUGGGGUUCCUCAUUUUGGUACUGCUAAUUAUGGAGUGGGUGUGAAUUUGGAGCAAGGGAUGAGACAAGGCUAUGGCAGGACUUUGAACAUUAUGAAUAGUCAAGCACAGGAACAAAUGUUGAAUUCCUAUUAUAAUGGCAAUUCAAAUAGGUACAUUGCCCCGAUUGGCUACAGCGGGGGCAAUGGAAGAGGCGAUUCCCCCUUAAGCUCAAGUACGUGGAAUGUCUGGGGAAAUGGAAGUAUGAGCACCGCCAUGAACUCUUCCGGCCCUGGCACUUUCUCUGGCUCUGGAACGGGGAACUUCAGAGUGGCAUAUGGAAAUAACGAUGAUAAUUGGAGUUUGCCUGCUGUUGU